CAAGGAAUUUUGUGCAAUGGGCGAAACUGCACACAGCGACGCCGCGUGGGGGAUGAAGGCCUUCGGGUCGUAAACCCCUUUUCCCAGGGAAGAAUAAUGACGGUACCUGAGGAAUAAGCCUCGGCGAACUACGUGCCAGCAGCCGCGGUAAUACGUAGGAGGCUAGCGUUAUCCGGAUUUAUUGGGCGUAAAGAGGGUGCAGGCGGUCUUUCAAGUCAAAUGUAAAAUCUCCCGGCUUAACUGGGAGGGACCAUUUGAUACUGUUAGGCUUGAGGGCAGCAGAGGGAGGUGGAAUUCUCGGUGUAGUGGUGAAAUGCGUAGAUAUCGGGAGGAACACCAGUGGCGAAAGCGGCCUCCUAGGCUGUUUCUGACGCUGAGGCCCGAAAGCGUGGGGAGCAAACAGGAUUAGAUACCCUGGUAGUCCACGCCGUAAACUAUGGACACUAGGUAUGGGGGGUAUCGACCCCCUCUGUGCCGAAGCUAACGCUUUAAGUGUCCCGCCUGAGGAGUACGGCCGCAAGCUAAAAACUCAAAGGAAUUGACGG
rnacentral:rRNA from 1 species